AAAUUAAAAAAAAAAAAAGUGGGUGCAAAGGGCAGAAAGUUUAGAUAAAAUGGAACAAAUGCAUUGAAUACCAAUACUACAUGGGUGAAUAACGCCAUGGUGCAAAUUAAUGUAUUUCAAGUACAUGCAAGAACACAAAAAGGACAUGAAUCAGUAAAAAAAGGACAUGAUUGCAAUUUGCAAAAAAACAAGUAAGCACCAAGGCCCUAGAAAUCAGUGGAACAACACACUAGCAACCACUACUUAAUAUAGGCCGGCAAAGACAGGUUGAUUUUAGACAAUCAACUAAGCCUUUAUCUCAAGAA
rnacentral:misc_RNA from 1 species